AUGAACGCUGGCGGCGUGCUUAACCCAUGCCAGUCGAACGCUGAAGCCCAGCUUGCUGGGUGGAUUAGUGGCGAACGGGUGAGUAACACGUGAGCAACCUGCCCCUGACUCUGGGAUAAGCGCUGGAAACGGCGUCUAAUACUGGAUAUGUCCCGUCACCGCAUGGUGUGCGGGUGGAAAGAUUUUUCGGUUGGGGAUGGGCUCGCGGCCUAUCAGCUUGUUGGUGAGGUAAUGGCUCACCAAGGCGUCGACGGGUAGCCGGCCUGAGAGGGUGACCGGCCACACUGGGACUGAGACACGGCCCAGACUCCUACGGGAGGCAGCAGUGGGGAAUAUUGCACAAUGGGCGGAAGCCUGAUGCAGCAACGCCGCGUGAGGGAUGACGGCCUUCGGGUUGUAAACCUCUUUUAGCAGGGAAGAAGCGAAAGUGACGGUACCUGCAGAAAAAGCACCGGCUAACUACGUG
rnacentral:rRNA from 1 species